UGCAUACCAUCCAUAUAAGUGAUCGGAUCCUUAUCGUUCUCAUCUAGUUCAAUAGAAUCUCCAUCCUGGAUCAGAAGAUCGUAGUAUCUAUCUGGUUGACGCGGUACUCUAUUAGAUCUCCUUAAGGGUACCUUUAAAAUAGGCUCCGAAUUUGAUUCCUCAAUUAAAUCCAGUUCUGUAUGUCUACCCAAUGGUGUCUGAUUUUCUACCUCAUGAACUUCAUCAAGUUUGAUCCUAG
rnacentral:lncRNA from 1 species